GGCAGAGAUAGAAUAAAAACAGAAAAAUGGCGACGGUCACGUUGUGGCGAGCCUUGCUGCGUCAUUAGAUAAUCCUCAUGCAAAUAGCGGGAAGAACAAAGGAAGGGGGGCCCGGGACCCCCGGGGGCGCAGCUGCCACCUUCCUGGAGAAAGACCACACCUGUGCUUAUCCGCGCUUUGGAGGAGAGGUGAGCUAAGAAACCAGGGAAUUCUCUGCUCUCCAGGGUUCUUAGUUAUUCCCCUCCCCAAUCCCAGUAUUGGCCAAAAAUUGUUGCUUUCACCUGCUGAUUUCAUUUGGCAUGUCUGUCCCCAGCCUCCCUUUCCCCCGGCAAGUUGUGGUCGGCAGAUGUUUUGGGAUUUUAUCUUCCCUCUGGACGUGUCCCCCACCAACCAGCAAAUAGCUCCUGGGCCUAGGUUGAGGGAGAGAGAGAUGUGACCCCCUUCGGCCAGUGCGCUGUUUUUUAUUCCCCUCUGGGUCUUCUAAUAGAAUCUGCUUUCAUCCCAUAGCCCCCUAUAGUUUCCCCCUAAGCUUAACCCAGAGCCAGGCCUAAGCAGCCUGUCUCUGGCUUUCUUUCCCCAGGCCCCACCCUGGCCCCUUUUGCUUUUCCAGCGCCAAAAAAACGCCUCCCAAGCAGAAGACACACCCAGCCCAAGUCUAACCAUUCCAAAAGGGAGGAGAACACAGAGGAAGAGCAGGGACCCAAGGGUCUCCUUCUGUCCUGAAUAUUCCAACAGCGUUUCCCUCUAAAAGCCUCCUAGCUUUAUAAUCCCUUUAUUCUUCUUACCAGUUGACCCUCCCCUCCUCUUUCCCCUUGUCCUAUUACAGGUAUUUGGGGAGACUGGUGGAGAAAGAGGUUGUCACCCUCUCUUCUUUACACCUCACCACUUGCUGGGCCCUGAUCCUUCUUUUUCUUCUGCCUCCUCACGUCUCCAACCAGAAGGGGAUCUUUUAGUCCUUCACUUCAUGGGGAGCCUUCAGAGAGAGUAAUGCAGCUACAAGAAAGGAUGCCGUUGACCGACACAGUGACUGACAGGCUGCCCUGGCUCAGUUAUCACAGUGCUGAUGCUGUCCAUUCUAAAGGAUAUUUAGGAUCUGGCCUAAUUCAAAAGAAUAUUUACUGAAUACCUUUGUUAUUGCUGCUGCUGUCACCUUUACAUGAAAGUAAAAUGUAAGUUAUUUUAUUUCUAUCAAAUAAGGACUAGUCUGCAGUGAUAUCUGGCACAAAUCGAUUUCAGGAAUAUGAAACUGUAAACACCAAGCCAGCAUCACAUGUGCAUGAAAGACUAGGAAAUUUUUUUGUUGUUGUGGCCCACACUGGAGUGCAGUGGUGUGAUCACAGCUCACUGCAGCCUUGAUCUCCCAGGCUCAAGCAGUCCUCCCGCCUCAACCUCCCGAGUAGUCCCGAGUAGACUGUAGGCUCAGACCACCCACCUGCAAAUUUUUAGUAGAAACAAGGGUUCACUAUGUUGCCAAGGCUGGUCUUGACCUCCUGAGCUUAAUUGAUCAUCCCACCUCAGCCUCCCAAAGCGUUGGGAUUACAGGCAUGAGCCACUACACCCAGCCAUGAUUAGGAAAUUUAACAGAGCACACAUCUUCAACCUCCAUCUUACUCUAGAGAGUACUGCUAGGGGUGAAAGGUGGUUAUUGGAGAACCCAGGAUUUCUCACAUGCCCUCUGCCAAUCAUCCCUCUUCCCUCUAGACUCCUAAGGACACUGUACACAUGUAACAAUAGCAAGCAAGAAACAAAAGUGCAUGACUUUGAUUAUGUGUUAGAUCACAGUACUGUGCACGGCUCAGGUAAUUUCAUGGAAUGUAUUUUAGGCUCAGAGCCUAAUUGGGUAUGUUACCUCUUCCUAGGCUCAUGUCUGUAUCAGGGAGCCUGUGGAUGUCUGACUGGUGUGGGAACCCAAAGCAGUGACCGACAUGCUUGAGCAAAGAGAAUGGAGAUGGCCAAGGUCAGGCCCUAAUUUGAACCUACCUACCACAGAGAGAAGGGGGCCAGGGAGGGGAAAACCAUAUGUGAGUUUUGUCUGUUUGUUUUAAAGACAGAGUCUCAGGCUGGAGUGCAGUGGCUCAAGUCUUGGCUCAGUGCAGCCUCUG